rnacentral:rRNA from 1 species
CCUACGGGGGGCAGCAGUGAGGAAUAUUGGUCAAUGGGCGCUAGCCUGAACCAGCCAAGUAGCGUGAAGGAUGACUGCCCUAUGGGUUGUAAACUUCUUUUAUAUGGGAAUAAAGUGCAGUAUGUAUACUGCUUUGCAUGUACCUUAUGAUUAAGGAUCGGCUAACUCCGUGCCAGCAGCCGCGGUAAUACGGAGGAUCCGAGCGUUAUCCGGAUUUAGUGGGUUGAAAGGGAGCGUAGGCGGGUUGUUAAGUCAGUUGUGAAAGGUUGCGGCUCAACCGUAAAAUUGCAGUUGAUACUGGCAUCCUUGAGUACAGGAGAGGUAGGCGGAAUUCGUGGUGUAGCGGUGAAAUGCUUAGAUAUCACGAAGAACUCCGAUUGCGAAGGCAGCCUGCUGGACUGUAACUGACGCUGAUGCUCGAAAGUGUGGGUAGCAAACAGGAUUAGAUACCCCAGUAGUC